rnacentral:rRNA from 1 species
UAGCUAGUUGGUGAGGUAAAGGCUCACCAAGGCGACGAUCUGUAGCGGGUCUGAGAGGAUGAUCCGCCACACUGGAACUGAGACACGGUCCAGACUCCUACGGGAGGCAGCAGUGGGGAAUUUUGGACAAUGGGGGCAACCCUGAUCCAGCCAUGCCGCGUGAGUGAAGAAGGCCUUCGGGUUGUAAAGCUCUUUCGGCCGGGAAGAAAUCGCAUGGGUUAAUACCCUGUGCGGAUGACGGUACCGGCAUAAGAAGCACCGGCUAACUACGUGCCAGCAGCCGCGGUAAUACGUAGGGUGCGAGCGUUAAUCGGAAUUACUGGGCGUAAAGCGUGCGCAGG